rnacentral:misc_RNA from 1 species
UAAUACUAUCCCUAACUCCAGAAAAAUUGUUUUGAGGCAUCAGGAUGUGCAGGAAAAGAAAGAUGUGCAGGGUUUGUUGAAUAAUGUGAUUGAAGAGACGGCGAGUAAGCUUGUUGAAACCAGGAAAAGCAAGGUUAAAGCUUUGGUGGGAGCUUUUGAGACAGUUAUUUCCCUCCAAGAUAAACCUUCUACAGUAACAGUUUCUUGAUUAACAACCAUAAAUUUCUAACACAUAGGAGCAAUUGCAAAUAUAGUGGAUGAUAUAACUUUUCUGACCUGGUUUAAGUAUGUUUGUCGUGUUUCUCAUUCUGACUCAUCGUCUUAACGAUUUCUUGAUGGCUUUCUGGUUCUG